UACGUAGGGUGCGAGCGUUAAUCGGAAUUACUGGGCGUAAAGCGUGCGCAGGCGGUCUGUUAAGACAGAUGUGAAAUCCCCGGGCUUAACCUGGGAACUGCAUUUGUGACUGGCAGGCUAGAGUAUGGCAGAGGGGGGUAGAAUUCCACGUGUAGCAGUGAAAUGCGUAGAGAUGCGGAGGAACACCGAUGGCGAAGGCAGCCCCCUGGGCUGACACUGACGCUCAGGCACGAAAGCGUGGGGAGCAAACAGG
rnacentral:rRNA from 1 species